GGUUGGUCGCUGGCAUGGCUGCGACUGGAAAAGAAGGGAAAAACAGGAGCUGUGGUGUUUUCUAUCCUUAACGUCAGUUCUUGUAGAUGCCAUGGUCAGGACCGGCGCCAUGGAUGCUCAAGGAGAAAGCGGGCACAUCAGCCCUCAACAUCUGCAGAAGUCAUCUUUGCCCCAGGUAAAUCGGAGCAGCUGAUGUGUGCGGCUCACUUGGAUGCCCUUUCCAUGCUGCCCAUGUCUGCUCAAGGCUGUAUGAGAGAGCACUAGAUGUGCUACCUUCAUAAGGAAAUAAUGAAAAGGACCAAGCAACGUGCUGUUGCUCACAUUAGAAGUGUAAUAAUCUUGUCCUCCUCUGUAGAGCAGUGCUGAUUAAAAUGCUAUACAAAAUCGGGGAUUACUGCUACUUUUUAAAGAGGAAAUAAAGCCAUUGCCCAUGUUAACAGGUACAGAUGCGAAGGUCCGGAGGAGAAGUGUCCAGGGUGAAGCACAGGGCAAGGCUGGCAGCAGCAGGAUGGAAUCAUCUGCAGCUGAACACCAGGACACAAGCUCGAGCACUGAAGGCUCCAGCAAGCGCCCAGUAGGCACUGGGACAGCGCCAGUGCUGCCGCUCUGGGCUGAGCUCCACAGCAAAGCCCAGCAGAGCAGCAGCCAUCGCCUCGCUGCAUCACCCCUUCCACCUCUGCACCCUACGCUUGAGCACUUACAGAAGUCUGCAGCCAUCCACGCGAGCCUGGCGGGCCCUCACCAGCAGCAGGUUGGUCCCGCUGAGGGGUUGGUGCUUUCCUGGUCCUCCUCCAUCACCCCUGGAAGCUCUCGCUGGUCCAGGGGUGGGCAAACGGCUGCUGCGCCAUGGAGCUGGGGCAGAGCCAGGGUGGCUGCUCCUUCCCAAGGCUUCUUACUCAAGCCCUGUGCCCUUCCAGUGGCUCCCUGUCAGCCCCAGGAGGGCAGAAAGGGCUGGUUUGCCUUUUCCUGUUCUAAUUAACUUUAUUUCCAUAGCAAAGAGAAGGAAGGACAAGCUAAUUGCUGUGCUGGUCCUGGCUGAGUCUAGGGCUGAGCUGAGCCUGCAGAUCUGGGGGGAAUUAGGAGCUGGAAGGAGGUAAAAGAGAUUAGUGGCCAUCCCUCACCCAUAGGGCGAAUCUGAAGAGACAGCACUUUGCCAAGCAGCAGAUGCAGCAGGUAUGUGGAUGUGCUGAGACCUCCUCGCUGGCCCCAUCACUGCCGGUUUGAGCGGGACAGCAGAUUUCGGGAGUGUGAUUCUGUCAGAUGAUGCAGGGUUUGCUGCAGGGAUUUGGGGGCCUGGACCAGGCUGCUCCAUGCAGGGUCCUCACAGCAGGAGCAGCUGGGAAUGUUUCCCAGCAGAUUUCCCCCCCCGGCACUGUUUGUUAAGCUGCUAUUUCUGGUUUUCUCCUCUGCUUCCUCAGCACUGAGGGAUCCCAGGGCUUAGCACACUAAGAGGGUUUAGGGUAUUACACAUCCUGCUGCGGCACCAGCAGGAGCGGUCAUCUGCAUCCCAUCCCCGACAACACAGCAACCCCUUGGUCUUCCCUUCGCACUGGUGUGGACUGAGCUGUCAGCAGCGAUGGGCUGAAGGGAAAACAACCCUUCAGGAAGCCCAGAAG